rnacentral:rRNA from 1 species
AUGGCGAAGGAGGCCGGCGGCGAGGGGGCCAUGUCGGAGUCGGUGCUGCGCAAGGUGCUCGUCUCCUACUGCUACGUCGCGGUGUGGAUCUUCCUCUCCUUCACCGUCAUCGUCUACAACAAGUACAUCCUCGACCCCAAGAUGUACAACUGGCCCUUCCCCAUCUCGCUCACCAUGGUGCACAUGGCCUUCUGCUCCUCCCUCGCCGUCGCGCUCGUCCGCGUCUUCCGGGUCGUCGACCUCCCGUCCUCGCCCGCCAUGACCACGCAGCUCUACACCAGCUCCGUCCUCCCCAUCGGCGCGCUCUACUCGCUCUCCCUCUGGUUCUCCAACUCCGCCUACAUCUACCUCUCCGUCUCCUUCAUCCAGAUGCUCAAGGCGCUCAUGCCCGUCGCCGUCUACUCCAUCGGGGUGCUCUUCAAGAAGGAGACCUUCCGCUCCUCCGCCAUGCUCAACAUGCUCUCCAUCUCCUUCGGCGUCGCCAUCGCCGCCUACGGCGAGGCCCGCUUCGACCUCCGCGGGGUCGCGCUCCAGCUAGCCGCCGUCGCCUUCGAGGCCACCAGGCUCGUCCUCAUCCAGAUCCUCCUCACCUCCAAGGGGAUCUCGCUCAACCCCAUCACCUCGCUCUACUACGUCGCGCCCUGCUGCCUGGGGUUCCUCUUCCUGCCCUGGGUCUUCGUCGAGCUGCCCAGGCUGCGCGCCGUCGGCAUGUUCGAGCCCGACUUCUUCGUCUUCGGCACCAACUCCCUCUGCGCCUUCGCGCUCAACCUGGCCGUCUUCCUGCUCGUCGGCAAGACGUCGGCGCUCACCAUGAACGUGGCCGGCGUGGUCAAGGACUGGCUGCUCAUCGCCUUCUCCUGGUCCGUGAUCCGGGACACGGUGACCCCGAUCAACCUCUUCGGCUACGGGAUCGCCUUCCUGGGCGUGGGCUACUACAACCACGUGAAGCUGCAGGCGCUCAAGGCCAAGGAGGCGCAGAAGAAGGUGGCGCAGGCGGACGAGGAGGCCGGCUCGCUGCUGCAGGAGCGCGACUCACGGCGGCGAGCGCAAGACCGAGACCCAGUCAUCAUAGAGCCGCUCAUCUCAUCCGAUCCGAUCCGAUCCAACAACACCAACAGCACGCCCAAUUUGGUUGGUUCUCUCAGUCCGGCGUAG